GCGACCUACGAGUGCCCCAAGGGAUAUGUUGUCAAUACUACUUCUACUACUACUACUACCCCGACUACUGAUACUACUUUUACUACUACUACUACUAUUUCUACCGCUGCUACUACCGCUGCCCUGCUGACCUGUAGUAGUAAUGGGACUUGGUCUGGUCCUGUUCCUGCUUGCUCUUAUGUGGACUGUGGACUACCGGAGAAGAUAGUCAGCGGGUACUAUCGCCUCUUAAGUAACACCACACACUUCGGCUCGCAAGUGGCGUACGAGUGUUUCCCUAACUACAAGGUCCAAGGGAGGAUUAGGAGACACUGCCUAGCCAAUGGUACCUGGGCUGGUGACUCUCCGCUGUGUGAAG